rnacentral:rRNA from 1 species
CCCUAGUAACUGCGAGUGAAGCGGGAAAAGCUCAAAUUUAAAAUCUGGUGGUCUUUGGCCAUCCGAGUUGUAAUCUAGAGAAGUGUUACCCGCGUCGGACCGUGUAUAAGUCUCCUGGAAUGGAGCGUCAUAGAGGGUGAGAAUCCCGUCUUUGACACGGACUACCGAGGCAUUGUGGUGCGCUCUCAACGAGUCGAGUUGUUUGGGAAUGCAGCUCAAAAUGGGUGGUAAAUUCCAUCUAAAGCUAAAUAUUGGCGAGAGACCGAUAGCGAACAAGUACCGUGAGGGAAAGAUGAAAAGAACUUUGGAAAGAGAGUUAAACAGUACGUGAAAUUGCUGAAAGGGAAACGCUUGAAGUCAGUCGCGUUGGCCGGAAAUCAGCCUUGCUUUUGCUUGGUGUACUUUCUGGUUGACGGGCCAGCAUCAGUUUUGACCGGUGGAAAAAGUUCAAGGGAAUGUGGCAUCUUCGGAUGUGUUAUAGCCCUUGUUCGUAUACAUCGGUUGGGACUGAGGAACUCAGCACGCCGAAAGGCCGGGUCUUUGACCACGUUCGUGCUUAGGAUGCUGGCAUAAUGGCUUUAAUCGACCCGUCUUGAAACACGGACCAAGGAGUCUAACAUGCCUGCGAGUGUUUGGGUGGAAAACCCGGACGCGCAAUGAAAGUGAAAGUUGAGAUCCCUGUCAUGGGGAGCAUCGACGCCCGGACCAGAAGUUCUCUGACGGCCCUGCGGUAGAGCAUGUAUGUUGGGACCCGAAAGAUGGUGAACUAUGCCUGAAUA